CUGUGUAUUGAUGAGUGUGCUAGUACUUACAGAGGCACCGAGAAGGCUUUUAACCCUGAGAUACGUUAAGAUGAAGACUUUCAGCAUGAAGAUUGUUGUUCUACUUGGAUUUGUGAUGCUUCUCUCUGUUGCUUUGGCUGAGCGUGAUGAGCAUGGCCAUCAGCAUAUCAUUGAGAAGCGCUCGUCAAGUGAAGAG